UUUCAAUUGCCGUAGGAAGGCUCCCGGGUAAUGCCGAGAUUAAAAAGGAACCGUGUGUGAAUCACGGGCUGUCGCGCAACUGUAAGUACCGCCACAAGUUAUAAUCACGACACCAGCCAUUGCCCACUGGGCGAGAAGGCCGAUUAUAAUGGUACAAGCCAGGAGACUUGCCUGCCUACGACAUGAGAC
rnacentral:ncRNA from 2 species